rnacentral:rRNA from 1 species
UAGGGAAUCUUCCACAAUGGACGCAAGUCUGAUGGAGCAACGCCGCGUGAGUGAAGAAGGUUUUCGGACCGUAAAGCUCUGUUGUUGGUGAAGAAGGAUAGAGGUAGUAACUGGCCUUUAUUUGACGGUAAUCAACCAGAAAGUCACGGCUAACUACGUGCCAGCAGCCGCGGUAAUACGUAGGUGGCAAGCGUUGUCCGGAUUUAUUGGGCGUAAAGCGAGCGCAGGCGGAAGAAUAAGUCUGAUGUGAAAGCCCUCGGCUUAACCGAGGAAUUGCAUCGGAAACUGUUUUCUUGAGUGCAGAAGAGGAGAGUAGAACUCCAUGUGUAGCGGUGGAAUGCGUAGAUAUAUGGAAGAAUACCAGUGGCGAAGGCGGCUCUCUGGUCUGCAACUGACGCUGAGGCUCGAAAGCAUGGGUAGCGAACAGGAUUAGGUACCCUGGUAGUCCAUGCCGUAAAACGAUGAGUGCUAAGUGUUGGGAGGCUUCCGCCCCUCAGUGCUGCAGCUAAACGCAUUAAGCACUCCGCCUGGGGGAGUACGACCGCAAAGGUU